rnacentral:rRNA from 1 species
CCUACGGGGGGCAGCAGUGAGGAAUAUUGGUCAAUGGGCGCAAGCCUGAACCAGCCAUGCCGCGUGCAGGAUGACGGUCCUAUGGAUUGUAAACUGCUUUUGCACAGGAAGAAACACUACCUCGUGAGGUAGCUUGACGGUACUGUGAGAAUAAGGAUCGGCUAACUCCGUGCCAGCAGCCGCGGUAAUACGGAGGAUCCAAGCGUUAUCCGGAAUCAUUGGGUUUAAAGGGUCCGUAGGCGGUCUAAUAAGUCAGUGGUGAAAGCCCUACGCUCAACGUAGGAACGGCCAUUGAUACUGUUAGACUUGAAUUACUUGGAAGUAACUAGAAUAUGUAGUGUAGCGGUGAAAUGCUUAGAGAUUACAUGGAAUACCAAUUGCGAAGGCAGGUUACUACAAGUGGAUUGACGCUGAUGGACGAAAGCGUGGGUAGCGAACAGGAUUAGAUACCCCAGUAGUC